CAUAGGAUACUAUUGAAGGAGAGGAAACAGUUUUCCUCCAGAAUGCCCAGAUUGCAUCUCAGAAUUUUCUUUAAUAUUCUACUUGUUUAAAGAUCAAAUUCUUACCUGAAUCACAGUAGAACCAGGGAUCAAAUUUUAAAUUAUCUGAUAUAAACUUUUGCGGAGGUCUGGAUACGCAGACCCUCUACUUCGCAUGUACGUCAGAUGUCGCA
rnacentral:lncRNA from 1 species